GAAAUUGAUUUAGAUAAUCUUGAUAGAGACCUUGGAAAGAGAAUUCCAAUGAAGGAUUAGUCUCCAAAUAUUCGAGAUGAGGUUCGAAGAGAAUAUAUAUUGAUGGGGCCUUAUAGAACUAACCAUUGUGAUUUUCCAUUCACAUUUUCAAAGUAUGAAACCUCUUGUGGACAAAUUUAGUCUUUGUAGCUUGUAAUGUUGUUUGUACAAAUAUUUUGAAUGAAAAGUUAGUAGUUUAUCGUUUAAUUUUUCGAUGUUAUUUUCGUCUAAUUUCUUGAGAGCUUUUAUAUUAGGACAACAUCGAAUGUGCAAGAUGUUCCCAAAUUUCAUGAAAGACCUUUGCAAUUGAAUGUCAAAAUCUAUACUUUUACUAUGAGGGGGAUUCUGGAUGCUUGUUAAUGGUCAUGGCAUCGUCAUCUAAGCCUCAGCUAAUAAGUCUGCUUGCUCUUCUUCUCAUCUUCCUCCACCUCUCCCUUCUUUCCAUUGUGCAUGCAGACCCUCACGGCACUUCUCUCUCCUCAGCAUCUCAUACAGUUCGAUAAUUACGUUUUUGCCCUUGUAUUAUAUUCCGAAAUUCUGAAUACUGCAUUUUUUUCCCCUUCUGAUAUUGCAGAAAGUGAUCUUUGUAAUUACGAUGACGAUUCCGAUCUGGAUGAUGUUGCUCCAAACAAGUACAAGCUCGACGACUGCGUUUGAGUAGCAGGGAAUGCAAGGACACAUGGGACUGCGGCCCUGUGUGCAGAGACAUGGGAAUAUUGAACCCUAAUGCCAUCAAAUGUGUUGUUCCCAACCAAGCUGGUGGAACUGGAAAACUUUGCUGUUGUCUUCCUCCUACUGAACCCAAUUAGAUACCUACCUUAAUCACCUUUUUACAUCAAAACCCUGACUUCAACGUUGUUUUGUAAUAAAGAUAAUUAAGGUGAGGAUUUUCAUUUCUCCUAGAUGCUUAAUUUAUUUGAAUUUGCAUGAGUAUGUAUUAACUUGCAAAAGAUUAUUGUUUGAUAAAACUUUGAUUAGAGUCUGAC
rnacentral:lncRNA from 1 species